UCCUUCUCGGACACCUUUCUCAAGCCUCAUCCGCAUGUUUACCAUUUCGGUAAAGUCACGGGGGGCACUAGCUAUCAUACGUUCAUAAUAAAAUGAACUCAGGGUCUUAAAAAAGAUCUUUGUCAUCUCUUUCUCCUCCAAGGGAGGAGUGAUCUGAGCAGCCAAUGCUCUCCAUCUUUGUGCGUUCUCUUUUAAUGUCUCUUUAUCCUUCUGAGACAUAGACCUCAGUUGGUCUCUAUCAG
rnacentral:lncRNA from 1 species